GAGGGUAUAGCUCGGUGGUAGAGUGGCAUGCUUAGCGUGCACAAGGUCCUGGGUUCUAUCCCCAGUACCCCA
rnacentral:tRNA from 1 species